AUCCAGCUGACGAGUCCCAAAAAGGACGAAACGCGUGUCCUGAAU
rnacentral:hammerhead_ribozyme from 1 species